UUGUUCGAGACUAGAACGUUGAUAGGCAGGGUGUGUAAGCGUUGUGAGGCGUUGAGCUAACCUGUACUAAUUGCCCGUGAGGCUUAACCAUACAACACCCAAGGGGUUUUGUA
rnacentral:rRNA from 1 species